AUUGGUGCCUGGCACAUUACAGGCCCUCAAUGUCUACCAGUUGGAUGACUGAAAGUGACUGGGGCAUCCGCCUGUCAUGGGUACGAAAGCCAGCUUCACCAUUCUCUACCAGCUUGCUCCAGGCUCUCUGUCAAAACUCUUUCUACUGCUCAAUCAUCUUCCUGGGAAAAAAUAUCAGAUGGCAGGAUCGAGAGGGAGCAGUGUUGCCUGGACAGUGUGGGAAGUAAAUGGCACAGUAUGGGAUUAAAGAAGGAUAUUUGGUAAGUCCUGAACUUGUGUCCCACAAUCAGUUUUCCUCAGACAGGACAAUAAGACACUGCAGGCCUCAGAAGGAUCAAAGUAAAUCAGCCAUGCCUAGCAUAUACUGAAACCAUAUCUGCAAGUUCUGAAGAUCAUGGAACACACAGAAUGUUUGUUGAAUUCAUAUCAAGAUGAAUGAAAAUAAGCGUGGAAAAGAAACUAAGAAGUGAUUAUUCUGUUGUUUUCCAAGCUGGGCAAACCACAUGUGUAGCAAGGCUGGCAUUUGUCCUGAAUCACUAUGUUUCCAGGACCACAGACACCCAGGAGUAUAGUCAGAAGUAGGUACGUGGAUCUCAAAACAAUGUUAUAAGAAAGCUUGAAGGAAUGGAGAACAUUUAGCCCAGGAGAGCAUCCAUGGGACAUGACUAUUAUUUUCAGAAAAUGGAAGGCUCUUGAUGUAGGGCAGGGAAUCACAAUUGUUUUGUAUGGCCUCAAGGAGCACUGGAGCCAUGCAUGUGAAUUGCAUUUUAGCUUAGAAUUUAAACUUCGGAAAACAUUCUAAUAAUAGAGCUUUUAAAUAUAGAAUAGGCAGACUCAGUAGGAAGUCAGCCAUCUACAAGUAAAGGUCUUCAGCAUGUGCUCUAUCAGGUGACAGAUUCAAAAGUUAGUCUGGAUUACCUUUAAAGGAAAAAAUUAUUUGAUUCUAUGAAAGGGGGGAGAAAAGUCACUAUAUUAGUUGGAGUAAGGGCUCCAUAACAGAGACUCAACAAUUCAAUCACAUAAAGGGCCAGGAAAUUGAUGACUCUCUCCCAGAACACUGCAAGGCAGGUAGGCAGCCUCUGCUUCAUAAAACCAUCAUGGGAACCAGGCUGGGGUGGGAGAACCUCAAUGUGAGGCUUCUGAGGCAAACCCGGUUGUCAACCAUAUCCAGUCAGUGGGAGGAAACAGGCGAAGUCCAGGACUGGAUACUGCUUAUUAACCAUGGAAUACAGAAGUUGCACGCAUUACUUCUACUCCUGUUCCAUUGGUGUAUCUGGUCUCCUGACUACAUUUCACUGCAAGGGAUGCUGGGAAGUGUACUCUGAGCCAAGCAGCCAGGAAGAAAAAAAAUGAAUUGAGAAUCCCAUGGCAGACUUGUGAUGGACAUCCCAAUUAUCCUGAUUUGAUCAUUACACGUUGCAUGUAGGUAUCCGAAUAUCACAUAUACCCCAAAAAUAUGUACAACUAUUAUAUAUAAAUAAAAAAAAUUUUAAACAGCACACUUGGCUACAGUCAUCUAUCAAACUAUCUGUCAAUUGUUUAUACAUCUAUUACUAUAUUAAUAAUAAACACCAAUGUGUUAUAUUAAUAUUAAUAAAUUACUACAGUUAAAAACACUGCUUUAAAGCCAUUCUGCCUGGUUAUGACACCUAACUCCACCA
rnacentral:lncRNA from 10 species